UUGCAAGCUGAAAAGGGUAUCCUAAAGCCGACACAGAUUACUCGCUCGCCUCGAGUUCUUUUACAGUUCUGGUUUCACGUUCUGCUUUGCAGUUACAGAUCAUUGUUGAGACGACAAAGGCUACAGGGGUUUUUUCUUCUGCAAUAAACAAGUUGAAAAAUCAUGGGUCACCAUGAUCACCAUCGCCACCACCAUGGAGACAGCCCUUAUGAUGAUCCGUUUUUGAGGUGUUGUUGCUGCCCUUGUUUUAUGGUUUCACCAAUCUUCACUGGAAUCAAUAGAUGCAUAAUUGCAGUUUGUCACCCUCUCUUGCUGUGCUUUGGAUGGGAUGAUGGAGGCCACCAUAAUCACCACCACCACCACCAUCACAGCCAUUAGAUUCUGUUGUAAAGGUCUCACCUUUUCAGGAUUUGAUCGGAUUAACCCAGGUUUUCAAGUGUUAAAUGAUUCCCAGAUAUGCAUAUAAUCUGUCGGUUUAACUAAGCUUUCAUUCUUGUCAAUGCAGUCUAUAGAUUUGGCUUCUGCAAGAUCUU